AAAUGCUGACAUGACAAUCAAAUUAAUAGGUGAGAGGAAGGAAGCGUUUCUUCCCCAACGAAAUGACUCCGGCGGCGUUUCCAAGCCGAUGAAACGCACUUGAAACGCGCACUGAGAGCUCCCAGCGUUUCAUGGCGGAUCCGCUGUGCCUCCCGUGCUCCCACUCCCCCGCGAUCUUUCUCCGCGCGCCAAAGCCAAUCGGCGUCCCCACAAAUCGGCCUCCCUCCCUUGCUUCCUCCGCCGCCGCUUCCCUUCCUCCCACCCCCUGCUAGCUGCCGGUGCCGAGCAUCCGGGCGGGUGAGAUGUCGAAGGUCUUCCCCAGCCCGACGGUGGCUCGGCAAAACGCGGCGGCGGCGACUUGGUGAAGGGCCGCGGCGGCGGUGACUCUUGUCCUCCGACGGCCUCCCCCACAUGGUCUGGACGCAGCUCGCCUCCCGCUGCCCCCCACCUCACCUCACCUCCCCUGGCGCAGAUUGGGGAAGGCAUCGUCGAGUGCGAGCUGCUGCGCUGGUUCGUCGCUGAGACGGAUUUUGCUUCCCAUAUUCCCUUGCAACUUCGCGCAUGUUAUUGGGUCAUACAACAUAGUCGAGCAAUUUAGUUCCACUUAUCAGGGAAGGGAAUGACCAAAUGAGCACAGGCAGUGAAGAAUAUAAUUGUGAUUUCUUAACACUGCAAAAAUAUGCCCUGUCACAAGAAGAAGAAAAAAAAGAGCUCCAAACACUACCGUGGGAAUGAGAUCUGAAAUUCAAAUUAGCCUUGCAUAGAUCUGAAAUUCAAAUUAGCCGAGCUAUUCGUUUUGCAGGGUGACCAAGUAGAUGAAUUCCAGCCACUCUGUGAAGUAGAGAGCGACAAAGCAACUAUCAAGAUGUUUCAGUUUUGCUUGCUGACUUGCUGUUGUCUCACUGGAGGAAGGAUCUAUUAUGUUCAGAGUGAAGGUUUUUGUUAGUUGCUGCCUCUAAACAAUAUUGGCUUGCUUUAAAAAAAUGCUUUCUGCUUCCUGAGAACUAUACUGAGAUGUUUCAGUUAGAACUGUAGUGCCUAAAUUCCAGAACUCGUAGAACAAUACUGAGAUAUUUCUGUGUGAAUUCAAGUCUGAAUGCUUCAAUUCCGUUCAAGUGUGAGUACUGUCACUGAUAUCCGUGUGUGAAAGCUUGAUGUACGUGUGUGUCAAAGCGUGUAUCUGCUGGGUGUGUUUGUCAUCUCUCUAAAAUUGCUGGGUGUGUUUGUCAUCUCUCUAAAAUUUCUAGUGUGAAUGCAACCUACAAGAUCUUUAAAUAUUCA